GUGGGGAAUAUUGCACAAUGGGGGAAACCCUGAUGCAGCGACGCCGCGUGAGUGAAGAAGUAUUUCGGUACGUAAAGCUCUAUCAGCAAGGAAGAAAAUGACGGUACUUGACUAAGAAGCCCCGGCUAACUACGUGCCAGCAGCCGCGGUAAUACGUAGGGGGCAAGCGUUAUCCGGAUUUACUGGGUGUAAAGGGAGCGUAGACGGUAUGGUAAGUCAGAUGUGAAAGCCCGGGGCUCAACCCCGGGACUGCAGUGGAAACUAUCAGACUAGAGUGCAGGAGCGGUAAGUGGCAGUCCUAGUGUAGCGGUGAAAUGCGUAGAUAUUAGGAGGAACAGCAGUGGCGAAGGCGGCUUACAGGACUGUAACUGACGGUGAGGCUCGAGAGCGUGGGGAGCAAACAGGAUUAGAAACCCCGGUAGUCC
rnacentral:rRNA from 1 species